rfam:Betaproteobacteria bacterium RIFCSPLOWO2_12_FTLL_64_23 rifcsplowo2_12_scaffold_58236, whole genome shotgun sequence.
GUAUCCAAGGAGCGUUGCAGCGGGUCAGAAGGCCCGUCAGGCUUGGAUGACCCCAACGACGCUCACCUGAU